UACGGAGGGUGCAAGCAUUAAUCGGAUUUACUGUGCGUAAAGGGCGCGUAGGCGGGUUUAUAAGUCAAAUGUGAAAUUCCGGAGCUCAACUUCGGAGCGGCAUUUGAAACUGUAAAUCUAUAGAGGGAUGGCGGAGAAAACGGAAUUCCACGUGUAGCGGUGAAAUGCGUAGAUAUGUGGAAGAACACCGGUGGCGAAAGCGGUUUUCUAGCUAUUACCUGACGC
rnacentral:rRNA from 1 species